UCUAAAAUAGUAUCUAAUUUAGUCAAUAUAACAAUUAAUUAUUUUAAAUCUCUAAAAUUAGUUUUUAUUUAAUAAUUUUCUAAUAGGACAGAAUAACUUUCUAAUAAUGUUCGAUCGAUUACAUAUUAAUCAAUAUUCGAUUUAAUGGAAUGAGGUUAUCAACAAAUUUUUUUAUCUAAGUCACUGAAAUUAUACAAGAUUAUACACGAAAGAUUCUUAUUUGGCUAGCCUUAUGUCUCUUAUCCUAGGUCUUCCUCCACUAGGAGGUGCAUAUAUGAUGCAAAAUUUUCUAGAUAUCAUGAAAUACUCAGUAACUUGUUGAAAAAAUAUGUAAGAAAGCUAAAAUGGGAUGCUUUCAAGUAUAUUUACAUAACUAUGAAGAAAUUAAGGUUUAAAAUAUUGAUUAUCCUAAUUGAGAGGAGAAUGAAAGACCUUCUGGAGAACAAAAAUGGGGAGAGAACACCAGAUGUAUCCCUAGCAGCCCAUCCAUAGGCCUUCCUUGGAUGCUCAACUUCAGGUUCCACUGCCAUUUCACUCAAAUCUGCAACUCAGAAACAAAGUAAACUCCCAGAAAAGUUAAAGAAAGGAGUAACAAAAACUGUGUUUAGUGUGUGAGAGAGAUGAAUAAGUAACUGAUGUGUCUUAAGAAAGCCAAGUUUAAGGAUAUUUAUAAGAUGGAAAGUGGGGCCUUCUGGUGUCUGCUGUCUGCUGCAUUGACGUAUCGAAUGACCUCCUUCAUCUGAUACUAAAUAAAAUAUGAGUACCUUGCUAGCAUAAUUAAGAAAAACUAAUCACAGAUAUUAUAUAUGUUUCUGUGAUUAAUGCUAUUGAUUAAUGAAUGCAAUUCUAGAGCUAUCAGUGAUCUGCAAUAUGUGUUGACCAAUUAAUGCUAGAGCCGCCAGCAAAAGUAUAUGCAUUGAAUCAAUGAAUACUUGCAAUGGAAUCGAUUGGAUUAAUUACUUUUAAAAUAUAUGUGGUUACUUUUUCAAAUUCUAUUUUGAUUGUAUUUAUGUUUUAAGUAGUUAUGUAAAAGUUGGUUUGCUUAAACAUGUUUAGUGUAAUAUUUUAUUUAUAGUUUUUUUUUUGGGUGGUGUUAUUAGUAUAUAAGAUCUCUAAAAGCUGUAUUUAAGUUUUUUAAUAGCAUAUUUUAUUUUGAGAGUUUAAGUGGAUUUUUUAGGCCCAUACUAAAUUUAUGCUCGAGAUGACUCUUUAAGUGACUAACUCUCUUAAUGUAAUGUUUAAUUUUGACUCAGUUGUGUGUAAUGUAUGGUGUAUAUUUUUUUUAUUAUUGUUUAAUGUUAAAUGUUCUAUUAUCGAGAAAAAUAAGUGUGGUUAACUAUCAUAGAGGUUGCAUAAAGAAGAAGAAAUUAAUUUUGCAUGGGGCAAAUUAAAUGCUUCUCAAAUUAAAGCACAAUAGAUGGAAGGAGAAAAAGAAAAAAAAAACAUUGAUUUGAGUUCAAAGCUACUUGAUGCUAAGAAAAAAAAAGCAAUAACUAUUUUAUUCAAGUUUAUAUAGAUUAGGGAUGACAAUGCGAGACAAACUCACUAAUCUAACUUUUUAAUCCCCUUUGGUUCGUCUUGCAUAACCCACAACCCGCACGGGCCAACAAUAGGCGAAUUGGUCCGCGUAAAAAAAAAAUAAUUAUUUUUUUUAUAUAUAAAAAAAAUCAUACCUCAUUCAUCCAUUAUUGCAGUGUGGCCUUUAUUUUAUUUUAUUUAAAAUAAAUAAAUUUAAUGUACUAAAAAAUGGAUGUUUUAUUUUAAUUAGGUAAAAGAGUUAGUAUUAAUAGUGAUAGUGGAUUUAGUUUUAUGUAAAGUCUUAUAUUUAAAAUUUGUUAAUAAAAAAAAUAUAUAAAUAAAUGAUUUCAAUAUGAUAGUUAAAAAAUUAGUCAUCUUCAUUAAAAUAGUUUGUAGCAAAACUUUUAUAAGAUACUCUUGUACAUUUACAUACGUAUAUAGGAAAAAUAGACGCAAAACAAAACUUUAAUUAUUUUUUAUCAAUUCUUCUAACAACCCUCAUACUUAAAUUUAUAUUUUGAUCUUAAUUAAAUGAAUUGAAACACGGAUACAAUUUUAAUUUUUCAGUAGUAAGAAUAAGUUUUUUUAUAAUUAAUGAAAUUUUAAGUUUUGAAAAGAAAAAAUAAUCUUAUGCAAGUUGGUCCGUGGGUAAUUUCUUAUGCAGGGCGGGCCAAUGAAGUGAGUCGUACUCCUAGCGCGAGGCAGGCCAAUUGGACUCGCAUUUUGCGGGUCUAUGCGAUGCGGGCCAACCCGCAUUGCCACCCUACAUUGUCACCCCUAAUAUAAAGACAUCCUUCGAAGAGAAUAACAAAAAUAACCAUUAUUUUACAAGUGUUGAAACUGCUAAUUUUAUCAAUACCCUAAAAGCUUUGUAAAAAUACUAUUUAUGUUCAUCACAACAAACUAGUAGAGAGAGCAUAAAUCAUUGCAUAAAUCAAAAGACACUACCAUAUCUAGUAAAUAAAAAAAUAUGAUUUUUUGAUCAUAAAGACAUUAUUUGUAUCUCAAGCCAAGAAUGACUUUAUGUUUAAAGUGUAGGGACAACUGACUCUAUAAGGGAUUGAAUGAAGUUUGAACUCAAUUCACGAGUCUAAUAACAAAAUAAAAAUAACAUUUAACCGACAAAGGAAAUAAAACACAUAUUUAUGUUGGUUCACCCUAUCCCUUACGUUACAUCCAGUCCCUUUAAACAAACUACUUAAGAACUUUUCACUAAAUUAUUAAUAUUUAAUGUAGUUUCUAUUAUUAAUAUAAUUUUAUAAAAUAGUUUUUAAAUUUGUAUAUAAUUAGUAGUUACGUUUUUAGUUACUAAAUACUUUAUAUUUUAAAUAAGUUUAUUUUCAAUUUCUAAAUUAGUCUCUGUGCUAAAAUAAAGUAAUGUGAUAGAAAAUAUGGAAAUCGUUUCCACUAUUAUAUUAUAAAAAGGACUAUAAUAAUAUUAUUAUUAUUAUUAUUAUUUAGGUUUAAAUUUAUAAAAAUAAAAAUUAUAGUGCUCAUUAUUAUUAAUUCAUCGUUUAUUUUAUACAAUUUAUUAUUAGUUUAAAAGAAAAUGAUACAGUAAAUAAAAUGAUACUUAAUAUUAAAUCACUAAAUUAACAUUUAAUUAUCAAAAUCAUAUAUAAAUUUUAUUAAAUAAACUAAUACUAAUAAAUUUAACAUCACUACAAACUAUAUAAAAAAAAGUAAAAUCUCAGUCAAUUCAUAUAUAUUUUUAUAUAUAAAUCAUAAAAUAACAUGGAUGUGAGAUGUGGAAAUUAGAUUGAGUUUCCUUAUUGAGAACAAAACGUGUGUGGCGAAUAACAUCAGGAAUACCAAAUAUAGUGUGAAUCACUCCAAAUAGCAGUUAGGGUUUCAAUGUGUUCCCAAUGUCAAUCACAAAUCGAUAUUUAACAUCAGCUUUCACUAGUCUCUGCAUUGCUGUGUUCACAUAAUCCAUUGGAAUUACUUCAAUUUCUGGUCUAAUAUUGUGUUCAGCAGCAAAAUCAAUCAUUUCUUGUGUCUCCUUCAUUCCUCCAAUGUAACUACCUGCUACACUUUUUCUCCCUGCCAAGAACAUGCAAUAACACUCCUAAGCCUUACAAUAUAUAGAAAAUGUUGUGGCCAUAUCCAUCACUGAAAUGUAUUUGAAUUGUUACCCAAAAUUAAAGUGGGGAGUAGCAACUCCAGAGGCUUCUCUGGUGCCCCAACUGCCACCAGUGUCCCAUGAGACUUCAGUAGAUCAAUCAAAGGCAUCAGAGGAUGAACUGCAGAAACAGUGUCGAUUAUACCAUCCAAGGUGCAUAUUGCAGCCUACAUACACAGUUUCAGGAUUAUAUCAUAAUGCUUUCUCUCUCAACACUUUUCACUCUUUUUGGUUAAAAUCAAAGAGAUGAGUCAAACAAGAUUGUACUUAACUCAAUCCUAGAAAAUAAAUUACCUAUAAUGGUCCCACAGAAACAACAACAAUCAUAAUUUCAACUUAAUUCAAUUUCACUCGUAAAGUAAAAACUAUUUCACAUUUUGUAUGUUAUAUUAUUUUUAGGAAACUUUAGAGUAUUUUUUUUUUACUAAAAUGUAUAAUUUCCCCUUUUUUAUCCUAGUUUUUGGAAAUAUUAUGGAUUUGGAAAAAUCGUGUCAACAUGACACGACUUUUUUUAUAUUUCAAGGUAAAAUCGUAUUAAAGUGUCAUCACAACUAGUUAGAAUUGAAGUCAUAUCACUUUGUCGAUUUCACCUUGUCAUGAUUUUUUCACAAUAAAGUUGUAUCGACUAUUCAUGACACGUAAGAAAUAGAUGAAUAAUCAUCUGUUUUCGUAACAAAUUGAUUUUUUUUUUUCAGAAUCCUAUAAGAAUUUUUUUGUUGGAAAUCUUGCAAGAAUUACUCGUUCUUUUUUUCUCUAACAGAUGAUCAAAACUUCAUUUGAAUUUGAAUCGAAUCUCAUAAAUUGUCGAAAAAAGAACAAAAGAAACAUCUUACUCUUUCUAUAUGAUUAGAAAAAAAAAUAGUGAAUUUAUAGGACUUUUUCAUGUUGGUAAUUUUUUCACAAAAUUAACCCCAUUUUAGUAAAAAAACCCCAUUUAAGUAAAAAAUGGAGAAAAUUGUCUCACUUUCAUGAAAGUUCUUAUUAUGAAAAGCAUGGUGUGAAGGAAAAAAACAAAAUAGGCACCUUCAUUUGAUCUUGGUCUCUACUGACCAGAAAGGAAUCUGCUCCAAGAUGUUGAAUGGCUUCUUCUUUCUUAUUAGGAGAGGUACUAAUGACAGUGACCUUCAAACCAAGGGCUUUUGCAAACUUGACAGCCAGAUGGCCCAGUCCUCCAAGGCCAACCACUCCCAGGUGCAAACCAGGUUUAUCAAGGCCAAAAUAUCUCAAAGGGCCAUACACUGUGAUCCCUGCACAAAGCAGAGGAGCAGCAACAUCAAGAGGUAGGCCAUUGGGAAUGCUGACAACAAAGUGUUCAUCUGCAACCAUGAAGUCAGAGAAUCCUCCAUAUGUGAUGCUGCCAUCCACAUACUUGGCACCAUAUGUGGGAAUCGUUUUUUGACAGUAAUUCUCAAGAUUGUUGACACAGUUUUGGCAUGAGUGACAAGACCCAACCAAGCAUCCCACAGCCACCUUCUCUCUAACCUUAAACUUUUCUACUUUGCUUCCUACCUCUGUCACUUCUCCAACAAUCUCACGCCUGCAAAUUUUUUUUAUAUCAGCAAAAAUAAAUAAAUAAAUAUGAAUCAUUUCAGAAGUGGUUGACUCCUUAUACAAAACAAGAUACUUCAGACUCAACUUUUCUUCUUGCAACUUGCUAAAACCCAACAAAAUUAACGACAAAACAAACAUCCUAACCAAACGACAAGCUUUACACAUGCUGACAAAGCCCUCAAAUCCAACCUUCUCAAACAAAAGAUCUUGAAAUUCACAGUCACUUAAUCAAAAACAUACAAACUAGUAAGUCAAUGCACCAAUCAGAAAAAAAAAGCAAUUAUCAUUGAAAAUUUGAAAUCAAAGAAGCAUAAGAUUUUACAUGUGUAAUAGCUCCCUUAUGAUGUGAUUAGAUAUUUACAUAGUCUUUACUAUUUCUUUCUUCUCUUCUCUCAUUUCCCUCCUUUUCUUUGCAAACAAAAUAUCCAUUUUCUAUAUUUCUAUCAUACUUCUUUCUUACCUACUUACAAAUCAUUUGUAAAAGGAACAAAGUAAAAGACACAAACAUUAUUAGAAAGGAAGAAGGAGAAAUCAUACCCUGGAACAAGUGGAUAAAUGGAAUCACUCCAUUCAUUCUUCAAUUUGUGAAGGUCUGAGUGACAUAUUCCACAGUACAACACCUUGAAUGUCACAUCUUUCUCACCUGUUUUUCUGUUAUUCCAAACACCAUUUUAAACGCCCUAAUUUUGUUUGUUUAAAUUGACUAUCGAUUCACAUAGUAAUAUUAUACACAAAAACUCCUUAUAUAAGAUGACUAAUAUCUUAAAAAUGGAACUUUUCGAGUUUUAGAUAAAAUUUGUUAAAGUUUUUAUAAUAAAUAUGAUGCUAUAAUUUAAUAUAUUGCUAGUAUUUUUUAAUUUUUUACACAGAUAAAAUUGUCUGUUAAUUAGUAUUUAAUGUUAUACUAAAAAAUAAUUUUACUUUUACUAAAUAAAAUAUUUUACCAAGGAGGGGUACUAUACCAAUUGUUUCCAGCGUGUAAUAAACAAUAAUUUGUAGGUGAGAGAGACUUGGAUAAAGUUUAAUUUUUUAUUUUUUUUAUAUUUCCUAUAUUAUUUUAAUUGCUUUUAUUUCAUACCUUGCAAAAAUUAUUAAGAUUUUUUAUUUAGAAUUCGUAUAAAUCUAACAUAUUAUAUUCUCAUUUUCUUUUACAAUAUUCAUAUUUCUUUAGUUUUAAAAGCAAUACACACUUUACAUAUAUGAUGCAAAUAUUUCUAUAAUGAUAAAAGAAAUUAAAAGGUGUUAAGCUAAUAUGAAAUACACAGUAACUUGUUCAAAAAUAAUAUGUAUAAAAAAUAAAAUGGAAUAGUUUGAAGUAUAUUUAUAUAACUAUAUGAAAAUAAACAAGUAAUUAGGGUUUAAAAUAUUGAUUAUCCUAAUAGAGAGGAGAAUGAAUGACCUUCUGGAGAACAAAAAUGGGGAGAGAACACCAGAUGUAUCCCUAGCAGCCCAUCCAUAGGCCUUCCUUGGAUGCUCAACUUCAGGUUCCACUGCCAUUUCACUCAAAUCUGCAACUCAGAAACAAAGUAAACUCCCAGAAAAGUUAAAGAAAGGAGUAACAAAAACUGUGUUUAGUGUGUGAGAGAGAUGAAUAAGUAACUGAUGUGUCUU
rnacentral:lncRNA from 1 species